rnacentral:rRNA from 1 species
GAUGAACGCUGGCGGCGUGUCUAAGGCAUGCAAGUUGAAUGGUUUGGUUUCCAGACCAUGGCAAACGGGAGAGUAACACAUUGGUAAUUUACCCCAAAGACGAGAAUAAUCCAGAGAAAUCUGGAAUAAUACUCGAUAUUAUAAGCUGUCAUAUGAUAGCUUAUCAAAGCUCCGGCGCUUUGGGAGAAGCCUAUGGUCUAUCAGCUAGUUGGUGAGGUAAUGGCUCACCAAGGCGACGACGGAUAACGGGUGUGAGAGCAUGACCCGUCUCACUGGGACUGAGACACUGCCCAGACUCCUACGGGUGGCAG